rnacentral:tRNA from 1 species
GUUUUUCUAAUAUAAAAAGUAUAAUUGACUUCCAAUCAAUAAGUUUGAUUUAGAUUCAAGAAAAACA